AAAAACAUGUCCUUUUGAAUAUAUUUAAGGUCUAACCUGCCCAAUGAGAAUUUAAAUGGCCGCAGUAUUUUGACUGUGCAAAGGUAGCAUAAUUAUUAGUUUUUUAAUUGAAAGCUUGUAUGAAGGGUUGGACGAGAUAAAAUCUGUCUCUAUUUAAAUUAAAAUAAAAUUUAACUUUUAAGUUAAAAGGCUUAAAUUCAUAUAAAAGACGAGAAGACCCUGUAGAUCUUUAUUUAAUUAAAAUUUUAAUAAUUUAGGGUUAUUUUAGUUUAAAAUUUUGAUUAAAUUUUAUUGGGGUAAUAAAAAGAUUAAAAUAAUUCUUUUUUUAUAUUACAUUGAUUUAUGAAUAUAUGAUCCAAUAUUAUUGAUUAAAAGAUUAAGUUACCUCAGGGAUAACAGCGUAAUUUUUUUGGAGAGUUCAUAUCGAUAAAAAAGUUUGCGACCUCGAUGUUGGAUUAAAAAUUAGCUUGGG
rnacentral:rRNA from 1 species